CUAUAUACAGUGGUUACUCCUCUCUGAGGUAAUUCAGCUAAGCCUGUCAGUCACCUGGCCAGGAGUCCACCCCACAGGAAGUCUGAUCCAUCUGAAGACAUCUACAGGCAGGAGAAUAGUAAUUAUCCCUUAAUGAGAUGAGGGGUCUUUACACUGUCCUUCAAAUUCCUGCUGAAAAAAAAAAGCUACAUGUCUGGGAAAGAUGCCACCCCACCCUGUAUGGCUACCUCCUAUGCCAGAUGAUAUGAUUCCCACCUGAUGAGGCUAAGGAAGCCAGCUGGAAUAUGGAUGCAGACCAGAAGAGCCCAGUGAAUGGCAGUUUAGGAACACAUCCAGUACUGUUGUAUACCAUCAGUGUCUGAGCCUGGAUGUGUGUAUCACCAGCCUCAGAUGUCCCCUUGCCUGUGUAGAGAAACACGGCUCACCUGUAAGCCGGGAGCUGUCUACUGUGACAGGUGUGACAGCUGUGUAACAAAUGUCUUUGUAUUUAGAAAUAAUAAACCUACUU